GACGAACGCUGGCGGCGUGCUUAACACAUGCAAGUCGAGCGGUAAGGCCCUUUCGGGGGGUACACGAGCGGCGAACGGGUGAGUAACACGUGGGUGACCUGCCUUUAGCUCUGGGAUAAGCCUGGGAAACCGGGUCUAAUACCGGGAUAUGACUCCGCGGCGCAUGUUGUGGGGUGGAAAGCCUUGUGCGGCUGGAGAUGGGCCCGCGGCCUAUCAGCUUGUUGGUGGGGUGAUGGCCUACCAAGGCGACGACGGGUAGCCGGCCUGAGAGGGCGACCGGCCACACUGGGACUGAGACACGGCCCAGACUCCUACGGGAGGCAGCAGUGGGGAAUCUUGCGCAAUGCGCGAAAGCGUGACGCAGCAACGCCGCGU
rnacentral:rRNA from 1 species